rfam:Bacteroidetes bacterium GWA2_31_9 gwa2_scaffold_1480, whole genome shotgun sequence.
GGGGUUGAGUUGGUUUUGACAGCAAGACGAAUCUGAAUGUAAGCAUGUCGGGCAACGUAACAUUUCCCGCUAAACGAGGGUUACAAACAAUCAAACGGCGAUAACAAUUUCGCACUUGCUGCUUAAUCUACUAUGUAGAUUUGCUUAAUUCAGUCUCAAGGAGAUUGAACAAGUUGUCUCUCCAAAGCUACUCCCUGUUGCGUUGGAUUAAGAGGCACUCGCAAAUCGGGGAUAGUUUGUGAUGUGUUUCGGUUCACGAGCGAAACAAUAGAAACUAAGGUUCAGGUCGGCUGCUGAUUGCCAGCUUGUUCUCGAAAAUUAAUAACCAGCUAAACAUGUAGAAAGCUUUGAGGUUUCUUGUUUGGACCGGGGUUCGACUCCCCGCAGCUCCACGA